rnacentral:lncRNA from 1 species
CAGCACCCUUGCAAACAUCUGUGAAAACCACGGAAGGAGAGCGGGUGAUGCCAGGCAGGACCCAGGGCAGGGACACCCCGGAGCGGGGCCCCGCCGUGCCCGUCCCGCUCCCCAGGGCGCAGCCGCUCCCCGGCAGUUGCACUUUUGCUUUGCACUGCGAGGGAGGGACCCGCCGUGGGGACCUCUUCAGCCCCGCGGGGACACACCGGGACAGCCUCCGGGCCAGCAAAGGCUGUGGAGGAGAAGAAGGGAAAACACAAGAGAGGUGCCAGGCACAGCCCAGCCCAGCUCCCCAGGAGGGUAAGUGAGCCAGGGACACCAGGGUGCUGCUGCUGUGCCCCUGCCACCCCUGUCACAGGUUUUCUGUGUUCUUAAACACACCCCCCCCCACCCUGAACACGAGGGGACUGAGCACCCCCAGUUCACCUGGGCCAGCAGCAAGGGCAGGGCUUGGUGGAGGAUCCAUCCAGGCUGAUCCAUCACCUGGCUCUGGGUAGGAGCAGGAGGAGUUGGCAGAUCCCAGCUCUGAGAGGGCUCCAGGCAUGAGGCAGCAGCAGGGAGAGCACCCACAAACCCAGCCCAGCCAGUAGCUGUUCCCAAAGCCUCUCCCCACCCAGCUGGGGUUAGGAGCUGCUGUGGGUUAAACGCCCAGGAUUUGCUAACGAGGAUUGGACACUCCUAAGCAGGCUCAGGUGAGGAACCUGAGCACUGCUGAGGGUUGAUGAGCUCUGCUGAGGCUCAGCUGUGGGCAGAGCCCAGCUGGGAGCAGGGUAAGGGGCUGCUCCCACAACUCCUGCAGGGGUUCUCACGGAGCAGAUGGAUAUCCAGCUGUCCUCCAGCACAUGGAAAAUGCUUUACCCAGGAUGUACCCAGCUCUAACAAGCUGAUUUUAGGCUGCCUGCAACUCUUACCUGCUGCUCUGACUCAUUAGGCACAAAUCUUCACCCAGUGACCCAGUGUGGCUGAUUUGGGGGUGUACUCAUUGAAAAAUCAGGGGGAAAAGCUGUUCAGGGGGAGAACGAGGCUGUGCCUGUGGAGAGUCUCUCACCCACCCCCUCGCAGUGAGGGGGAAGCAAGCACAGAGCAUGCAACCCCAAAUUUCCUCUUUCUGGAGAUUUUUUUAGCAUCCU